GACGAACGCUGGCGGCGUGCCUAAUACAUGCAAGUAGAACGCUGAAGAGAGGAGCUUACUCUUCUUGCAUUAGUUGCGAACGGGUGAGUAACGCGUAGGUAACCUGCCUUUUAGCGGGGGAUAACUAUUGGAAACGAUAGCUAAUACCGCAUAACAAUGUAUGCCACAUGUCUUUUUUUUGAAAGGCGCAAUUGCUCUCCUUCAUGAUUGACUUGCGUUGUAUUAGCGUGUAGGUUAGGUAAUGGCUCACCUAGGCGACGAUACCGAACCGACCUUAGAGGGUGAAUGGGCAAACUGGGAAUGAGACAACGCUCAGACUCCUAAGGGAGGGAGCAGUAGGGAAUCUUCGGGAAAGGGGGGAACGCUGGCCGAGCAACGCCGCGUGAGUGAAGAAGGGUUUCGGAACGUAAAGAUCUGUUGUAAGGGGAGAACGGGUGUGGGAGUGGAAAGUGCACACUGUGACGGUAGCUUACCAGAAAGGGACGGCUAACUACGUG
rnacentral:rRNA from 1 species